rnacentral:sRNA from 1 species
CCCUAGCCCUGAUAGUAGUGAAAAUCCUAUCCCACCGUACCGCAACAAGCGGGACCGUGGGGUAGAUUGAAACGGAUAGCAGGAAAAAGC